rnacentral:rRNA from 1 species
UAGGGAAUCUUCGGCAAUGGGGGGAACCCUGACCGAGCAACGCCGCGUGAGUGAAGAAGGUUUUCGGAUCGUAAAGCUCUGUUGUUAAGGAAGAACGAGUGUGAGAAUGGAAAGUUCAUGCUGUGACGGUACUUAACCAGAAAGGGACGGCUAACUACGUGCCAGCAGCCGCGGUAAUACGUAGGUCCCGAGCGUUGUCCGGAUUUAUUGGGCGUAAAGCGAGCGCAGGCGGUUAGAAAAGUCUGAAGUGAAAGGCAGUGGCUCAACCAUUGUAGGCUUUGGAAACUGUUUAACUUGAGUGCAGAAGGGGAGAGGGGAAUUCCAUGUGUAGCGGUGAAAUGCGUAGAUAUAUGGAGGAACACCGGUGGCGAAAGCGGCUCUCUGGUCUGUAACUGCCGCUGAGGCUCGAAAGCGUGGGGGGCGAAAAGG